AAAAGCACCCCGUAUUCUUCUCAGCUUCCUCAUGGGCUUUGUCCAAACAGCUUGAACAACUGCAAAAUAAUAUUCAGAACCAUGAUAGUGUUUGGUACAUAGAGGACACUGGAAAUAGUUUUCUUAACUGAACAAGUGACUAGAAUAAAGGAAUUAAUGAAUGACAUCAGAGCCGAAAUCCCAAACCGUAAAUCAUAAAAGGAUCAGACAGCAAAAGAUUCCAAAAUGAAAGAAAAGUCAUCCUCUCUGGAAAUGUGAAGCAUAAC
rnacentral:lncRNA from 1 species